rnacentral:lncRNA from 1 species
ACUGACAAUAACAACAUUUGCCGUGGUGUGCGACCCCUUUGUACGCUCUGCCGUGACAAGAGCGACAAGACGCCAUAUUACAGCACUGGGGACAAGUUCAAUGACGGGCUGGCGUGUGGCUGGGACACUGGACUCGUGUGUACCACUGAAGUGAACGGCAAAUACUGUAAAGAUUACGAAGUGCAGUUUCGCUGCCCUGUCAUCGGAACUUGCACGACAUGCGGAAACGCACGCUGGACGAACUGGCUGAACAGAGACAUUCCCACUGCUACCGGAGAUUGGGAGAACGUCGGACCAACAGGGCACAACCCGUGCAACAGCCACGAGCCUAUCGACAUCCAAUGUCGCGAAAAAUCAACCGAGCAGCCAUGGGACCAAACCGGGCAGGUUUUCAAAAACAAGUGCACUCCUUCUGAGGGUCUCGUUUGCGUCAAUGCGGAUCAGGCCUCCGGACAGUCUUGCAAGGACUACGAGGUCCGCUUCCUGUGCCCAUAGAAGAAUUUAAGUUCUGGGACGAACACUACUUGCACAUGGCUUCUUGUUUUUAUCGUUACAAUUGAAAUAUCUUUGCUGAUGUAGCCUUUUCAUAUACUUAUCUAGAUUAAUAAGUCAACAUAAUAGUAAUUGUUUAUUAUUGAAAUUUAUCUACCGUAAAACUUAUUUGAGAGUGAGCUGAAAAAAUAUCGUCUUCCAAAAGAAAAUCAACAAAUACCAAAUACCAAAAUGCAAUAACCUGUAGAUGAAUUAAAGUAGCAGAACAAGCCUAAAAUCAAAUAAGUCUUGUGUUUUUAUUAGAUACAGCGAGACUGGUGACAUGAAAGUAUGGUAAAGGUGAAGCUACGGUAUUUGAAUUACCAAACAGAUUACUUAAAAAUGUGCAAACAAAACAGAAGCUGAAAGUAAAACAACGCAAAAUCUCA